rnacentral:rRNA from 1 species
UCAACGCGGGAAAUCUUACCGGGUCCGGACACACUGAGGAUUGACAGAUAUAUACCCCGUGAUUUUAUCGCGGGGUUGAAAGAUGCUAGUUCUUUCAUGAUUAUGUGAUAGGUGGUGCAUGGCCGUUCUUAGUUCGUGGAGUGAUCUGUCUGCUUAAUUGCGUAUCAAUAAUAGAGACCUAGUAUACGCGUAGACUCAUGCGGUAGUGACCCCCCUUCACAGGGCGCGUGUCGCACGUAUGUUAUACGCACAGGUCUCCGAUAGCAACGAACGUGACCGUACUCUAUUGUUGCAGCGACAAUACCUUUCAACGGGUAUUACCGCUGCUUAGCAAGAUUCGUCUUGCAUUAAACUAUAGAGACCGCUGUUUCUUCUUUAAACCAGAGGAAGGAUACGGCAAUAACAGGUCUGUGAUGCCCUCAGAUGUUCCGGGCUGCACACGUGCUACAAUGAUCAUUGCACUGUGCAUCUAACCCAAUGUGCGCGGACGCCGCCGUGCGUAUAUACUUUAUUGUGUAUGCGUAUCGUGC